rnacentral:rRNA from 1 species
UACGGGGGGGGCAAGCGUUGUUCGGAAUUACUGGGCGUAAAGGGCGCGUAGGCGGUCAGCACAAGUCAGUUGUGAAAUCUCCGGGCUUAACUCGGAAAGGUCAACUGAUACUGUGCGACUAGAGUGCAGAAGGGGCAACUGGAAUUCUCGGUGUAGCGGUGAAAUGCGCAGAUAUCAGGAAGAACACCCGUGGCUAAGGCGGCUCUCUAGUACGGUACUGACGCUGAGACGCGAAAGCGUGGGGAGCGAACAGG